rnacentral:tRNA from 1 species
GGGGAUGUGGCUCAGUGGUAGAGUGUUUGCCUAGCAUGCAUGAGGUCAUCUCCA